rnacentral:rRNA from 1 species
AUUGAACGCUGGCGGCAUGCCUUACACAUGCAAGUCGAACGGCAGCACGGGUGCUUGCACCUGGUGGCGAGUGGCGAACGGGUGAGUAAUACAUCGGAACGUACCUUAUCGUGGGGGAUAACGCAGCGAAAGCUGUGCUAAUACCGCAUACGCCCUGCGGGGGAAAGCGGGGGAUCGAAAGACCUCGCGCGAUUAGAGCGGCCGAUGCCUGAUUAGCUUGUUGGUGGGGUAAAAGCCCACCAAGGCGACGAUCAGUAGCUGGUCUGAGAGGACGAUCAGCCACACUGGGACUGAGACACGGCCCAGACUCCUACGGGAGGCAGCAGUGGGGAAUUUUGGACAAUGGGGGCAACCCUGAUCCAGCAAUGCCGCGUGAGUGAAGAAGGCCUUCGGGUUGUAAAGCUCUUUUGUCAGGGAAGGAACACCGGCUCUAACACAGUCCGGGAAUGACGGUACCUGAAGAAUAAGCACCGGCUAACUACGUGCCAGCCGCCGCAGUAA